rnacentral:lncRNA from 1 species
ACAACAGAUGCUCACAUGAAUCUGUAGCUGAACAAAAGUUGUUUUAUGCAUAAACAAACAAAUACAACUGGUUCAUAGCUGUACUGCAUCCUGUAAUGUUUAUCAGCUGGAUUUCUUCAAGCUUUUUGUAUGAUAAGCUGCUAACAAUGAGAAUGGCGACAAAAGUGCACUCAUCUCAAUUACUCUCCCUAUGCAGGGGAUUACUAUCUGAAUAAAACUACUAGAAAAAACCAUUGUGCAAUAGUAAGCAAUUCAAAAUAUAACAGAUAGGAUCGUAAACGGUAAGAUUUAAUGAGCUGAAACUGUGAAAUUAUUUCAUAAAAGUUCAUUCAUAUUUCUUUCUAUAUAAAAAAUCUACUUAAAUUCUCGAAUAAUGUACGUCACUUUUGUUCGACUUCCGUAUUUGUAAAGUAACACUGUUUAUAUAAUUAAAUUAAAAUUUUGUUCGGAGGACUGAGAGGCUUAUGCAUUCGUGUGCACUUGUGAUACAGGGGCUGCGAGGCAUACGGAAGUAAAAUAACUGAACCGCCAUAGCUUUUGAGGUCUGUAAAGAUGGGGAUGAUAUUACUACAAUUAUUGUUGUCAGGACUCAGUUUUAAAAUUGAUCCUUUCAAGGACACCUGUCUUCUUACCAUGACACCUAGAAAUAUAUACAUUCAAUAAUUGUCCUGCACUAUUAUUGAAUAUUACUGGAAAGAAUAUUACUACUUCAUAGACCUUGAAAUAAAAAAAAAAUCACUAAUUUUUUCGGAUCAGUCGGGAUUUCAGCCGCUUAUUACUACUUCAUAGACCUUGAAAUAAAAAAAAAUGACUAAUUUUUUCGGAUCAGUCGGGAGUUCAGGCGCGGAGCUGAAUGUUAGCAAGACAUGGCCUAUAAAUUGAACAUGUUACACGAACUCUCCUCUACCAUUAUCUAUCUCUUUCCUUCUCUCGCUUGAUUCAAAAACAUCAACAAUAGAGACAACAAAUGGCCUUGAAACUUUUGCUUCUGCUAACUUUGAUGUUCUUUAGUACUCUCCAGGUAGAAUAUGAGUGACUUCACAUAUUUUUUGGGCUAAUGACUUGUACUAGCUACAAUUUUCAACCUAACAUCUAAAAACUUGUCUAGUACUUACUUUGGUUUGAUUUUGUAGCUUCGAUCUUGUGCUGCGAUUUAUGAACAAGAGCAGCUAGCCCUGCAGGUUGUCAUCAUCUCCUUGCUAACUAGUUCACACAAGCACACACAGAUUUGCAUAUACUUAUUAAUACGUUUUAUAUGAUGCACCAGGUAGUGAAAGGACCCAACAGGAGACUUUUGCCUUAUGUUGGUAAGUUUUGUGGCUUAAUAACCUAUAUCUACUUGCUAAGCAAGUAUAAAUGCAUAAAUUUCAAAACCCAGUAGUUGUUGCAAGUAAAUUAUUUACCGUUGCUAAAUGUUCGCAUUGAUUAGUUUUCUGUUGUUGCAGACUGCCAAGGACUGUGCAAAGU